UAGAAUAGUUAGAGUGGGGAAGGACCUUAAGAUCCUCCAGUUCCAGCCCCCCUGCCAUGGGCAGGGACACCUCACACUAAACCAUGUCAUCCAGGGCUCUGUCCAACCUGGCCUUGAACACCGCCAAGGAUGGAGCAUUCACAACUUCCCUGGGCAACAUACAAACAAAAACCCCAAAACAACUUACUAGACAUUAAUUACUCCACAUCAGCUUUGCUAUGAGCAAACUUUUCCUACUGCUGAGCAAACCCAAGAGUUAAUUGCCACAUACUAAAUUCCACAUGACUGCAUAACAAAAAACAUUGCUUGCCAAUAGAAGAGUUUUAUAUGUAGGCCAUUUGACAUCUAUAAAUGUCAAGGAUAGGUAAAGUUUAUGACUGAAAAUUAUGGGUUGGAAAUAGCAGUAAAAAUGGAGAGAAUCUGUGAUUACAGCAAAACUGGGUGGAGAGAAGCCACCCAGUUGGCAAGUUCCGUUUAUCAAGUUGGUUGGUUUGUAAACCAGAGGUUGACUCUUUACACUGUAGGAGCAUGUGAUAAAAACUUCUGAAAAUUCAUCUCAAGGUGCAGAUAAGUUUUUCCACUCAGUUCUAUAUAUUUUCCCUGUCAUCCACUUUCCAGGUUUCUUUUCAGUCUUUUCUGCAUCUACCCUUAAUUUUUCAUUAGAAGGUGCAAUGGCUUCUGAAUCUUUAAAAACCAGAAAAAGUACUCCCAGACAAGUACUCUUUUGGGUCGGAGAACUGAAUAUUUUCCUCUCAAGUCCAGUCUUAAUCUAGUGGCACUUCUCAGCUCUCACUUCACCUCCUUGAUGAAACUGAUCUUUACAGCGAUUCACCCUGACCAGAUGAGGGUACCAGAGGCCACUUUGUUUAGGUAACUUUUACUGUCUAAGCAAAAGCUCUUCAAGCAGGAUAAGCACAAUUGAAAAUCAAAGCCCAAGAAUUUCUCAGCCAAAAUACAUAACAAAUACAGAGCUAGGACUAGUAAACUGCUUGAUUAAGCACAUGCUCACUGCCCUGGGUAAGAUGUCCUGCGGCUCUUUGCUUUUCAGAAGAGCAUCAGUCAGGUGGGGAGAGGCUGAUCUCCAUUGCUCUGUGGAGCAGAGACAUUCACAGUGUUGCUGAGCUGCAUCUUGUUGUAGGCAUAUAGUGAAAAAGUUGGAGCUUGUAUUACUAUGGAAAAGCCUGAACAAAUACAAAGACCUCCUAAAAGGUCAGGAUGAUCUGAAAACAACACUGACUAAUGAAGAGAACUGGUACCCGUGGAGGAGGCUUUGGGCUUGUGUAGGCAGAUUAAGAAACAGGCCCAAUGAAUCUCUAAUCAGGAGAGACUGUCCUUGAAGACUGGUACAUCUUGAAAACACAUGGACAUCAAUCAGCAAGAUAUAACUUUGAUGCAUCAGCACCACAUGAUUAGGGAGUCCUUUAGGGAGUCCCAUUAUUAGGGAGUGUUUUCAUUAUAGUCUCAUUCUAAUGCUGAAAAUCAUGUCUACAGGUCAAAAGACUCCUGCUUGAGUGAAAAAACUCUUCCCUGAGCAUGCAUGGCAAGGAGUCCAUGAUGUAAACUUACUCAGUGAGCUGACCAGUUGUAAAUGGUGGAAGGGUUAUGGGGAAUUACCAACCUGAACUGAACUGUGUAUAAGUGUGAAUUUUUGCAUGGGGUGAUGUGCUAGCUUUGCGGGAUACCACAUAGCACACCUUUUUUUGUGCAAACUUGGAAUAAACAGACACCUUGUCUCUGUGUGUGAAUUGGCUGCUGCACACCUGGACAACAUUCUGGCCUCCUGAUUUGAUUUUAGGAUUUUACACUUUUUAUAUCAGAGCUAUCCUCAAAUCCUUAUGAUGCUUUACAACUUCAACAGCUUCGCCUCUAUUUGUUACUUUUCUCUCUUGGUGAGGCUUUAGCUCAUGUGGUUUUUUCACAUCUUAACAAUUUUUUUUUAUCAAAGUGACUCAAAUUUACUCAGCUGUUCUACGGCAAUCUUGCCCUUGGAUGAGAGACACCCAUGGCUCAAGCCUGCUGCACUGCUACAAUUGCAAAGACAGCCACCUAUCUCCACCCUUCUCUGCCUCAGCACCUCUAAACAGUGACUUGUGAAUGUCCUGCUCUAGCUCUAUCUCUGCUCUAGCUUCUUCCGUGUAUUUCUGUCAAUGCGAAGUCCAUAUCCAAUGCAUCCUGACUCUUCUAGCUUAGAGCAGGUCCUUGCCCCCAGAUUUUGCUCUUGUGCAUAUAAGACCAGUCUGGUUUUCAGGAAUGCCAGCCUCUUUCAGCUCACUCAAGGCUGAUGAGCAGAAUCAAGCUCACAGGUGGUCCUUCCUGGCCUACCUCUUCCUUGAGGGAGUGAGUGAUGUGUGGGGCAGGCAACGGACAUCCUCCGUACAGCCACAGAGAGCAGGCUUUGUAGAGCUGCUGUCUGUAUCCUCACUGCCCAGGGCAACGAGACAUAAACAUGGGCAUAGGUGACUGGUGGAAGACCAAGAGGACUCACACUUUGUCUGGGUAAUCUCUCUUUGCUCAUUCACUGAAAGCAAGGAAAAAAACACAGUGGUUAGCAGGUACACUACAAGGACUGGUUGGAUAAGUAGUGUCUCCAUGAGCUCUCUACCCGUGGUAGAGCAUGGUCAUUGUCUACAUGUUCUAGAGCCCCAUUGUCAAAGUGUAGAUGAAUACUCCUGCAUGAAACCCAUUUAGGAAGCACUGAAUCGUAGAAUCGUAGAAUCAUAGAAUGGUUUGGGUUGGAAGGGACCUCAAAGAUCAUCCAGUUCCAACAACCUAAAUGUGAAAUCUCAGGGUGUUUCUUAACAGGGUGAUUAGUAUGUGGCAGUUACCUGGUGUACAGGUUUUUUUUUUAACAGGGUGUUUUUAGUUAGGAUGAUUUUCAAGAAUGCUUUUUGUUUUCAGCUUCCAUCAGUGCUGGAGAGAUAGACACGUUCUAGAUUGUCCAGAAAGGAUUUCAACAGGGCCCUAAUAUUGAGCUUUUUGUUCUGCAGAUACAGAGAUAUUACAGUGUCCUGAUUACAGAAGUACUUCUGGGCUAAGCACUCAGUACUGAGAAAAAGAGAAUGGAGCUGCUUUGAAAAUCAACACAUAAAGCAGAAUUUUACAAGACUCAGGCUUUAGACUUUCUUGUUUUAAACUCUCAGGCUUGGAAAAAGCCCACACAAAGUCCUAAAAGGGACACAGUUCUUUGAAGCUCUCUUGACACUUUAGCCAAUAUAAAAUGAGGGACUGUGUCAUGGAAAGAAGCAAUUGUGAAAAUCACUAAACCUGCAUAUCCUUGACAGUGCUGUAGCAAGAGGUAUUAAAGUGGUAAUCAUUGGAUGUAUAAAUCAUCAGAGCCUUUUCAUUUUCUUUGCUUGUCUGUUGUGCUCAGAUUUGCCUGCUUUGAAGAUCAGUUUGAGCAAUUCUCCUUUCAGUCUUGUGUCAUUGUGCAUAAUUACACACAUUGUUCUCCAGUCCUUGAGGAAAAACAGAAAUAUAUUUUGAUGUUCUAGUUUACUCUGUGACUGUUGCAGAGCAAAACGCUAACUGGAAGUCAACUCUUCAAAACAUUUCAAGGUUAUUGAAUAACUUUGCGUUUGAGAUGUUAUUAAUUAGUGCUGCCCUUGUUGCUCAAGUGGAUCAUCAAAUGCAAGGCCUU